GCCUGGAAUCUCACCGGGGGAGACCGCAGGAUGACGGCCAGGCUAACGACCUUGCCAGACUCGCGGAGAGGAGGUGCAUGGCCGUCGCCAGCUCGUGUUGUGAAAUGUCCGGUUAAGUCCGGCAACGAGCGAGACCCCCACUUCUAGUUGGUAACCGUCUCUCCGGAGACGGUCCACACUAGAAGGACUGCCGGUGUUAAACCGGAGGAAGGAGGGGGCCACGGCAGGUCAGCAUGCCCCGAAACUUCCGGGCCGCACGCGGGUUACAAUGGCAGGGACAGCGGGAUCCGACCCCGAGAGGGGAAGGCAAUCCCACAAACCCUGCCUCAGUUGGGAUCGAGGGCUGAAACUCGCCCUCGUGAACGAGGAAUCCCUAGUAACCGCGGGUCAACAACCCGCGGUGAAUACGUCCCUGCUCCUUGCACACACCGCCCGUCGCUCCACCCGAGUGGAGGGGAAGUGAGGCCUCUUGCCCCUCGGGGUGGGAGGUCGAGCUUCUCCUCCGCGAGGGGGGAGAAGUCGUAACAAGGUAGCCGUAGGGGAACCUGCGGCUGGAUCACCUCAC
rnacentral:rRNA from 1 species